rnacentral:rRNA from 1 species
UGCCAGCCGCCGCGGUAAUACGGAGGGUCCCAGCGUUAUCCGGAUUUAUUGGGUUUAAAGGGUCCGUAGGCGGGACAAUAAGUCAGUGGUGAAAGCCUGCAGCUUAACUGCAGAACUGCCAUUGAAACUGUUGUUCUUGAAUUUAGAUGAAGUGGGCGGAAUAUAUCAUGUAGCGGUGAAAUGCAUAGAUAUGAUAUAGAACACCGAUUGCGAAGGCAGCUCACUAAACUAAUAUUGACGCUGAGGGACGAAAGCGUGGGGAGCGAACAGGAUUAGAUA